rnacentral:lncRNA from 1 species
CCUAGUAUUUUGUAUCACUAGUAAAAAGAAAAAAAACACAUUAUGCACCUGUAUUAUAAGGGUGUGUUUGGUUUGAAGUCAAAAUCGAUAUUAGAAUCGGAAUGAGAAUAAGCUAUAAACGGAAUUAAAAUGAUUCAUUAUCUCAUUCUAUUUAAUUCACCACUUGAAUUGGAAUCGGAAUAAACCAUAUUUAUUGUCGGUGUUUGGUUCAGAUAGAUAUCAGAAACGUAAUCAAAUUAAUAUGUCAAUUUUAUCUUUAUAAUAUAUUAGUUUAAAUUCAAAAUAAAAAUUAAAUAUUAAAAAUUUACGUCAAAGUUUUAAAAUGAUAUCACAAUUUUAAAUAUAUAUUUUUUAAAAAAAUUAAAAUUUGAAAUUGAACGGAUAAUUCAAAAUAUAAAACUAAAUUUUGAUUUAUUGAAAUUUAAACUUAAAAUUAUAAUUUAAAUUUUAACUUGAAUCCAUAAAUUUAAUUUAAAUUUUAAACAAAAUUUGAAUAAAACUUUACAUUUUAAAUUAAAUUUAAAUUUAAAUUCAAAUUUAUAAAUUAGAUUUGAAAUACUUGAUUGAAUUUUAAUUUUAAAUUUAAGUUCAAAUUUAAAUUCAAAUUUAUAAAUAUAAUUUUUAAAUUUAAACUUAUGUUUUAAUUUUUUUUAAUCUGGACCCCAAGGACGUGCGACAAAUCAGUCACAAAUAUAGAAAAUUUUCGAAAUAAAUUCACAGAGUUUUUCCUAUAUUUGCACGACGUAGCGCAUAUUACAAUUUAAUUAACAACCAGAUCUCUAUUUAUACGCACAACAAAACGAUGUACAAGAAUCAUCAUAUUACAUCAAACAUCUGGCCAUCCUUAGUCACAUUCAUUCUACAUUCAUUCACAUUUAUUCUAGAAGUUGAAAAUGUCUUCUACACGAAACUUUAUUUGAAAACCUAAGUUCAACGAAAAAUCACCGAAAACCAUUUUGGAAACUGUCCCCCUACCCGGGGACCUUUAUCUUGAAAAACGCUACCAUGAUGGUUAGAAAGUCCCAAGAAAAUUAUUUGAAAGUCAUUUUCCACACGAAAACCUUUAUUUUGAAAAUAUUACCACG